UUGUUUUUCCAAAGUCAUUGAAGACCAAUCGAUUUCUGUCCUUUCGUUAACUAAGGAUAAGGAAGCAAUUAUAUCUAAACAUCCUAUAUAUACAUCACUUUCUCUUCAAUACAAAGACUAUCAAAGUUUCAGUCUUCAAUACAAACACUAGGUCAUGCAAGGCAGCAGUAAUACCAGACUCGCCGGAAAGACGUCUGUAAGAGGUGUGACCGCCGAAACUUCCAUAUCCAAAAAAGCUUCAUCACAAAUCAGAGGACGUUUUUCAUGACCAGAAGUUGCAGGAGCACAUGGAAGCCAAUGAAACUAUAAGUGGAGGAGAAGCCUAUACUCAGAAGAUGAAGGAGUUGAUCCAUAACUAGAUGGGAAAGGUGCAGAUUCAAGAAAGUAGCUGAACGAAUGGCAUAAAGAAAGAUUCAAGGGACAUGCUGGAAAGACAAUGUUUACAAAUUCUAGAUAUGACUACUAUGUAUUGGCCAUGUGUAACUUAGGCCAAAAAAUUGCUAUAUACAAUCUACUCAAAGAAACUAUUCAACAGCGACAGCUAUCAAUCUCAAAAAUGCCAACUAAACAAAUGAUUUCACAUAUCUAACAGAGGUUAAAAU